GGCAGGCUUUCAGGCAGCGAGCGCAGAGGCGGCUGGGGAGGCAGGAGGCACUGCCUGAGGAGAUUGCAGAUAAGUUUUUCUCUUAAAAAGAGAUAGACAGGAAUUGAUACGAUUCUUUAGGAAACGUAAAUAGUGCUAAUGCUUAUUGAGAUAUUGCUUAGCAUGAAACUCUUAGAGUAAUUUAAUCUUAAAAAGAUCUGUAAGGGAAAAGAUGAAGACUUCUAGGUUGAGAAAGAGGAAAGAUCUUUCUAGAACAAGACGGAGGUUAAGAGACGAAGCUUCUUCAUGCAGUGAAAAAACUUAGGCUUUAAAAAUUGAGGCCAGAACUGCCAAGCCCGGGAUUCAAAAAAAAAUCCUUAAAUUGAAGGGCAGCCGUGUAGAUUGACGUUAAAAAUGUAAGCGACCUAAACAGGGCCUAAACGCUAUUUUAAAAAGACGAGUUGUAGACGAUUAAAAAAUUUUUUAAGUUUAUUCUAAAAAGAUUUAAGUUGAAGGUGCCUUAAGAGAUAGGCCUUCAAAUUCAUGGCGCAGGGAGGAUUGCAUCAUUUGAAACCUAGUUCUUAAAAUGACAAAUACUAAUUGGAAGUAGUAGGAUAAAAAUUUGGAGAGCUUAGAAAAUUGAAGUGGAGAACUCAGAAGACAGAAGUACAGGAAGGUGAAGACUUAAAGACAAGUACAGGAAGGUGAAGAAAAGACUUAGAGAAGAUAGGAAAACUGGAAGAAAAAUUACGGCUUUUAGAAGACAGAAAAUUAAAAGUCCAAAGGGAGGAAGCAGAAGAAAAGGUGUGUUUAGACAAACUAGAAAACCAAGGCAACUAAGGUCUCAGAUUACAAGUUCAGGAGAAAACCAGAAGUUGGAAACGAGGUGGAAGAUACCUUCAGGGAAAGUAUUUCAGGUAGAAUACGAAAAGCUAGGACAACUAUUGAGCGCAAGCUUAGAAGAUAGACGUCAAAAAGAAGAUAGAAAAGGUUAAAGCCAAAAACAAAAAAUUGGAUUAAGUACAAGAACAGGAAAACUAAGGAGGAAAUUAAUAUUUAUUAGAAUUUCUUAUAAACGCCCAUGAAUUUACUUUCUGGUGAUGCAGAAGCUAGAUUUGAGAAGAUGAGGGUGUUAAAACAACUAUAGACCGGCGCCAACUUAGAAGAAUUAUUCAGAAGCUAGAAGGGGAAUCAGUUUAAAAUUACAGCGUUUCAUGGCCUUGGUACUAAAAAGACUUGAAAUUAUUUAAGAACCAAGGUAGCAUAUUUUUGGAGAGCUAAAAAUUUCAAAGUCUUUAAAUGCAGUAGCUUAGUGUCUUUUGGAAAAUUUAAAGAACUUUCAUAACUGGAGUAAUUCAAGAUCAAGAAUAACUUCCAACUUAACAUUUCUGCAUUGGACUUUGGGCUAAGAUGAUUUUAAAUCCUGAGGACUAGCGUAAUUGGCAGCUGACCCAGGUGCUACGCAGAAGUGGAUUCAGUGAACCUAGGAAGACAGGAGCAGCAGACAGGAUUCCAGGAACCAGUGUGUGGUGAAGCUAGGACUGAGGAGCCAGCUGCAGUUCGUGGUGAAGAUAGGAAGGAAGGAAGGAAGGAGAAGUCCAGGAGCCAGUGCGGUUUGGUGAAGGAAGCUAGGAAGAAAGAAGGAGCCCUAACGAUUUGGAGGUGAAGCUAGGAGAGAGGAUUCCAGGAAGGAGGAGGAGCCAGUGCGAUGUGGUGAUGAAGCUAGCGAGCGGCUUGGCGGCUGUGGCUCGGUGACCACGAGGAGCGGCGAGCAGGCGGUGUGGAGGAUAGAUAGAGGAUCCUAGAGCAGCAAGCAUCCCAGUGUGCAAGGCCGCAGGGAGAGCGAGCGAGCGAGCGAGUGGUGUGGUAAAAAUCCGUGAGGUCGGCUAAUGUGUUUUUCGUAACUGGAGUAUGGUAACCUUUAUUUGUUUUUCCAAUGGUAACGGGGGAGUUGUGUGUCUAAGCGCCAAGGGAUUUGACGGGGUGUAGGCCGAUUCCGGGUGUUGUAGGUUUCUCUUUUUCAGGCUUGUUUUCUCAUGCAUCUUGUCUGAAGCUUUUGAGGGCAGACUUCCAAGGCCCGGAGGAGUGGUAGAUGGCAAGUUUUUUUUGUUUAUAACCAAUUUGAUUUGAACCAAAUGAAUUUGAUAGAACAACUUUGAGACAAGAUUUUGGCAAGUUUUGUAAGAAGUUUUAAUUUUUAGCUUGGGGUAAUGAAGCAUUUCAGUUUUGUGAAUAGAUGACCUAUUUUUCUUCCCUCACCCUGUAUUAAAGUUAUGUAAAUGUGGAGUUUGGGUGUGUAACUCUGGGGGGGGAAGUUUUCUUGUGGGGAUGGGGGGGGCAAAAUAUGUUUUGAGUUCUUUUCCCCUUAGGUCUGUCUAGACUCCCAAAGGCAAAUGACUCAAGGUAACAGAAAAAAAGAAAAUCCAGUAUCAGGAUAAUCAGAACACCACAGGUUUACAGUUUCUAGAAACUAGAGCACGAGCAGCUCUCACUUUUGAGUUCUGUGGCGGAGCUGUCCAUUGGAGAAAUGGCUGGUAGUUACUCUUUUUUUUCCACCCCUUUGUCAGCUUUUUAAUACAUAACCCUUUAAAUUUGUCAUAUUUACUUAUUUUGGGGUGGUCUUAACAGGGAAGAGGGUGGGGGAGAAAAUUUUCUUUCUAAGAUUUUCCACAGAUGCUAUAGUACUAUUGACAAACUGGGUUAGAGAAGGAUUGUACUGCUAUGCUGUUGGCACGAACACCUUCAGGGAUUGGAGCUGCUUUUUUCCUUGGAAGAGUAUUCCCAGUUGAAGCUGGAGUGGUACAGCACAGUGCAGCUUUGGUUCAUAUUCAGUCCUCUCAGGAGCACUUCAGAAGAGCUUGACUAGGCCAAAUGUUGAAGUUAAGUUUUCAAGUAACGUGACCUUUAAAAUCACUUUUAUUAAAGGGGAGGGCAAAUUUUGGCAAUUGGUAGUUGGCAGUGGCCUGUUAAUGGUUGGGAUUUGGGAGGGUUGGGGUUAGGUAAUUGUUUAGUUUAUGAUUUCAGAUAAUUCAUGCCAGAGAACUUAAAUACUUAGGAUGGAAAAACUAAAGAAAUCUCAACUUCCAAGUUGGCAAGUAACUCCCGAUCCUCUAGUUUUUGUUUUCCCCCAAUGUUUGAAUUGGGCAGCUGGGGAAGUUCAUGAAGAUCCAUUGGAUUCACAGUGUAGGGCUUGGGGAAGGAAAGUACAGGACUGGGGGUUGGUCUAGCCCACUGGCUGACUUAGAAACUUUGGGAACUUUGAAAAAUGACUUAAAGUUGUUUGGAUAUGGUAGUGUGUGGUUCUCUUUUGGAAUUUUUUUCAGGUGAUUUAAUAUAACUUAAUACUACUGUAGGAGCUUCAGAGCAAAGGAAGUGGCUUAAUGAUCCUGAAGGGAUUUCUUCUGAUGGUAGCUUUUAUAUUCUCAAACUUUUUUCAGAUAACUUCUUCUGAGUCAUAACCAGCCUGGCAAUAUGAUGGCCUAGAUGGAGAGGGAACAGCUCCUUGGUGAAUGAUAAGUAAAGGCAGAAAAGAUUCUAUUUCAUACCUCCAUUGGGGAAAAAGCAUAACCUUGAGAUCCUUACUACUGAUGAACGCAUGGUCUGCAUAUGCAAAAAAAAAAAAAAAAAAAAAAAAUUAACCAAAUGAAACUACCAAUUUAAAGUUAAUGGAAUCUACCAUUUAAAAGUUCUGGCCUAUCAAGCUAUACCCACACACAAAAAUGAAUUGAUGAGAAAUAAUAUAAUGAAUUGAUGAGAAAUGCAACGAAGAUCAAGUGUCCAUCUCAAAAUGCUGCUUUUACAAAAGCAGAAUAAAGAAAUGAAAUGAAAAUAAUACUACAUUAAUCGUGGAAUAAAAGAAGCUGAAAUAAUUCAGAGUGGGAUCAAGUGGAUUGAGAGGAGGAGGCUGUGCUGUUUGCCAAUCUUUCGUUUGCCUCAGACAGGUUUCUCUUCAUUAUCAGAAGAGUUGCUUCAUUUCAUCUGGGAGCAGAAAACAGCAGGCAGCUGUUAACAGAUAAGUUUAACUUGCACCUGCAGUAUUGCAUGUUAGGGAUAAGUGCUUAUUUUAAAUAAGAGCUGUGGAUGUCUUGAGUAUUGAACAUGGCCGUUUUUCCUGAUCCCUUCCCUAGGGGAUUCCAGGAUUGUGAGGAAUUUUCCCAUCUAGCCUUUGUAAAGUUAGACAGGACUUGUACCUGUGGGCUUCCAUGAUGGGAUCGCACACCUCACUCAGGCAAGUAAUUCCUAAAAGCCUUGAGGGUGGUGCCUUUAUAUAAUAAGGCGGCGUUUUAUAAAACUAAGAAAACUUGUUUAGCAUUGAAUCGCUUAAAUCCUACAAAAGGAUAGCAUAAUGUGUUAAGAAUCGGAUGCUGUUAAUCUUGCUAAAAUUUAAUUGUGUUGUGAUGUACGUUGUGCAGAAAACAUAAAAUCGUUCAAAAUAAAACCAUUUUAAUAUAGAGAAUGUAUGCUUUUAGAAAGCUGUCUCCUCAUUUAAAUAAAGUAUUGUUUGUUUGUA